AGAGUUUGAUCAUGGCUCAGAUUGAACGCUGGCGGCAUGCCUUACACAUGCAAGUCGAACGGUAACAGGUUAAGCUGACGAGUGGCGAACGGGUGAGUAAUAUAUCGGAACGUGCCCAGUAGUGGGGGAUAGCCCGGCGAAAGCCGGAUUAAUACCGCAUACGACCUACGGGUGAAAGCGGGGGAUCGCAAGACCUCGCGCUAUUGGAGCGGCCGAUAUCAGAUUAGCUAGUUGGUAGGGUAAAAGCCUACCAAGGCGACGAUCUGUAGCUGGUCUGAGAGGACGACCAGCCACACUGGGACUGAGACACGGCCCAGACUCCUACGGGAGGCAGCAGUGGGGAAUUUUGGACAAUGGACGCAAGUCUGAUCCAGCCAUGCCGCGUGCGGGAAGAAGGCCUUCGGGUUGUAAACCGCUUUUGUCAGGGAAGAAAAGCUUCGAGCUAAUAUCUUGGAGUGAUGACGGUACCUGAAGAAUAAGCACCGGCUAACUACGUGCCAGCAGCCGCGGUAAUACGUAGGGUGCAAGCGUUAAUCGGAAUUACUGGGCGUAAAGCGUGCGCAGGCGGUUCUAUAAGACAGAUGUGAAAUCCCCGGGCUCAACCUGGGAACUGCAUUUGUGACUGUAGAGCUGGAGUACGGUAGAGGGGGAUGGAAUUCCGCGUGUAGCAGUGAAAUGCGUAGAUAUGCGGAGGAACACCGAUGGCGAAGGCAAUCCCCUGGACCUGUACUGACGCUCAUGCACGAAAGCGUGGGGAGCAAACAGGAUUAGAUACCCUAGUAGUCC
rnacentral:rRNA from 1 species